UGCCCUGAGGAACCUAAUGGACCGACCUGGCCCUCUAAAAGAAUUCACAUCUGAUGCCUGCCCCGAGCUCACGUUAGCACCUGUUGCAGAGAGGUGACCGCACCGCAACAGCACAACACAAUUGUAAUAACGUAAUAGCAUGGUGAAGUUGCAAGACAAAGUACUCAAAAGUUGGAAAUGGAUGAAUUUUAGAAGUACAGCUGCUAUAUGGUACAUGAACCAGGUUUUAAUUAUGCUGGUUAGGUUUUCUUUGCAAGAUCCCUAACAAAUUCACUGCGAAGAAGCAGCAAAACUCUGUCAGCACUGGGGACCAUGUACCUCCAUCAGAGACUAUAUCUGUUGAGUUGAGUUUGUCUCCUUUCAUUUUUCGGAUAAUAUUUGAACGUGGCUUUUGUUUUCAGACAGGUUUGAGGCAAGGGGAACUGUUUCAGAGCUAUGCUUUACAUCUUUCUCAAAAGGAGAGUCGACAGCAGUGAUGUCAGCCAGUAAGAAGCUGUUGGGACAUCUGAGGAUUGCUGCUUUCUGCAUACCUGGAGGUAAUAGAAAGUGCCAAUCUAGAAAAUGUGCAGGUCCAGCUAUUUAACCAUUUUUUAAUGGGGCAAAGAGAGGUGAUAAAAGAAGACUCCGUGUUGAACAAGUGUACUUUUUCUUCUGUCUCUGAAGGGGCAACAGUGCACAAAUGGAAGAGUUAGCCAGCAAUGAUAGAUGCCAUUUUGUACAAAUCAGAUGGAGAGACAAUUUUGUUAGUUUGGUAGCCAGAGCACACACAUUUCUGUGCAGGCACUAAAGACAUUAUGGUUUAUCUAACACCAACUUCUUUCAAGACUGUAUCAGUUCCAAUAGUCCUGCCAAGAGUCACAAGGCACCAGAUCCUUAUCUGUGGAUUAAAUGGAUGUUGAGGUUACCAUUUGGAAAAAAUUAUACUACUAAUCCUCAUAGUAAGGAACUGUAAAAUGUAAUUUAGGUAUUCAGCAACAAGAUGGAAAAGAAUGGUAACCUAAGCAAUUUCAUGAGCUUUAUUUGGCUAUACCUUCUUUUAAAUAAUAUUUUUUUAAAGCAACUACCUUGAUUUUGAAUGGGAAUUACUUGUGAGGUUUGCAAAUUUGAGGCUCAAAAUACUGUUCUUGGACAAUUUGAAGUUUGGCAUAUCACAUAAUGUCCAGAAUACUUCCAAUGGAUUAACAGAAUGUGUCCAACAUUCAUUGUUUUCCACAUUAUUUUCCCCUGUUUCAGACAUACCAGUAGCUUGCUGUCAGUCUAUUCCUUCUCUUGGAGGCAACCAUCACACUGCCAGACUUCACACAUUUCACAAACACAUGCUUCAUUAAUCUCAAAGAGUUACAAAAAAUAAAUAAAACCUAGAAAAUUAUUUUUCUUUCAAGCAAAAGAUGAAACAGACACAAAAAGAGAAUGACAACAUAAUCUGAGAAUAACCUGGAAAGCUUGUUCUGGAGUUUUUUUCCAUUAUUCUAUCCAUACUAUUUUGAGGUCCUCAGCCUCCUAAUCUAGAGGCAUGCCACAAAUGAGUUUUUAUAAACAGGCUAUUUGUGAGCCUGUCAUUAAUCUCUGAUAAUGUUCCAAAGAUAGCCCUUGGAGGAUUUGGAUUUGUCUUCUUUUUCUUUUUAAUCCAGUUAGGGAGUAUAGCAAACAGUGACACAAACAGGAUUACGUUUGGAAGGGUUCUGUGCCUGGUUAUGUGAGUGGCGCACAGACACAGACACACUGAGUUCUGCUUUUCUGCUCUGCAGUUUGUUGUCUUCCCAGCUGCUCCUCCUCUUCUUUUCUGGUUGAUUGUAAACACAUUUGAAAAAAAACCCAUAUAUUUUAUUUUAAAAAUUAGAUUAAAAAAAAAAUAAAGGAGGAGGAGGGAAGCUGUGUGCCAUCCUGGUUUUAAACUUAUCUGUCUUUGUUACCACAUUUGUGUCCCAGUGCUCUCCUGAAUGAUGAGACAGCCUUGUAAUCUCGUCUGGUAGCAGGAGCAGAACCUGAGGUCCUCUGCUCCCACGGAGUACUUCCAACAUUUCUGUGGUGAUGGUUUUUAGAAGCAAAUUGUCAUUAGGAUUUUGUAGGUAGCAAGCAUUUUUUGAAAUAAAAACAUGAAUUUUUAAACACUGAGGAUGACUUAAAACACUGAAAUAAAAUACAGAAGGUACCAGUAUAUUGUCCACUUCAGAUCACCUUCAAAUCAAGGCAAAGAAUUUAAAACAAUGAAAAACUGUUAAAGCAUCAAUAAUUCUGUGUUCCUGGAAGUAAUAAUUGCAUAUUGAUUAUGGCAGCUGGUGUGCUAAAUCUUCCAAUUGCUCUAUCUACGAUCAUGUCUCUCCAUUAUUUCUAAGUCCCUCAAUUUCUGCCAUUAGCUGCAAACUGUAUCAGAAAAUAAUUUUGCCUCCCAGCUAUUGUCAGGAAUAAAAUUAUUUGGGAGACAGAGUGAUACAGACUUCCAUUAAAAACAUGCCUGGUUUUGAAUGGUUUUUAAUCUCUUAAGAUUUUGAAACCUACAUGUAGCCAGAUUCAAGUCUGUCAAAUGGUGAUGGACUGACUUUGUAGAUUCUUAGGACUAACAGAUGACUAACAUCUAGAGUGACUGGCUUUGGUAUUUCAUGUAAGUUGUUAUAGGUAGCAAGGGUUCACAUUUAAGAAGAUACCUGAUAAUAUAUUCUGUCAAAACCACUCAUAAGACAAUCAAGAUAAACUUAAUAACCUCUUGUGUUUUUCUGACUAGAAACUUCAUUUUUAAAUAUACCGUAUCUCUAUGUUAUGGUUUGCAUUAAAGUCACAGAAUGCAUUUUUUAGGAAGUUUAUGUAACGUUAGGUAGUAUUGAUUCUGCUGCUGUACACUUAUAUUUCAGAUGGUAUCUGACAUGAUUCAAUAUGAAUUAUGAGUCACAACAACAUGGCAGUGUUAGUCGUCCAAAUUAGCUCUGAAGGUUUCAAUAAACAAGAUAUAAAUUAAAUGAAAAAGCCAAUAUUCAAAACCUCAAAGCCAACAGUCAGUAAAAGUCAAGUAAAAAUUUUUCUCCUUCACAUUUUCUAGAUAAGAAGGAAGACUGUACUCUGUGUGUUUGUUAAAUAAUACACCUUUGCAAAGCUGAGGUAAACUUAUCUGGCUGUUCUUUAAAACAUUUAAGUUGCAAUUAGUAUAAUGGUCCAGCAGUUUCUGUGUCUAGCUGCCUUCCAGUGCCAGAGUUAGAGCUUCAGUCUGCCUUUUAAAAUGUCUUUUUAAAAGGGAUUGUUAAGGAAACCUGAAAAUGAGCUGUAAUGGAUCUAACCCUGUGGAAGUUUUCGGUACUGAAAGUGAAAAUGGUCUUUAUGAAAGUGCUGUAAGGCACAGGUUGAGUGGCAUAAAUUAUGUUCCUCAAACUCAGCAGCCUUUGCAACUGUUAAUGCUGAAGUCUCAGAGGAAUGGAUCACGCAAAGUUAAAUUUAAUUUCAAUCCACCCAAGUUAUGAGUAUCAUGUAAUCAGCACCAAACAAAUCAGGUGAUGGGUUUUCCCUUACAGAGUCCUAUGUGAACUGGACUUUGAACUGGUUUUCACACCAUAACACAGUGUCUCAAGGGAUGAGAGAGUGGGGUUGAAAGUGUGUUGCUGGAAGUAAAGGUAGGGCUGUUUCACCCCCCAUUACAAAGGUAGCACUGAGAAGAAGAACUGUUUCUAAGAUAUGAUCUGGCCUCACUCACAGGCAGUCUGAAGCACGGCCUAUUCUUGACUCUGUGACCAUAGUAAUAUUUUCUUCAUCUAAACUCUGUAUUUAAUACUAUAUAUAUAUAAUAGAGGUAUAUAAUAAUCUAUAAUAACUAAUGUUCUUUUCACCUUCUUGACCUGUCCUUACACAACUGGGAAUCCACACACUAUUUAGAAAGGCCAGACCAUAAAUCCUUAUUCCCAAUGUCAAGCCAGUCCCAAAUGAAGAAUUAGGAUGAGACAUUUCAUAUGGGGUUGUCUUAUCCCAUCUCUGCCUGUUACAACUCUUCAUGCACCUUUCUUUGAUGGAGCUAAAAUUGCUCACUGAUGAAGGUCCAACCCUAGACUGGGUAGCCCACAGGUUUGGUUCACAGCUGUGAAAAUGUGGUGUUCCUGCUGCAGCCUCUUGACCUCAGGAUUAGGGUGUUUUCCUACCCUGUUGUUGCCUUACACAAUCUCCUGUGGAGAACAUCCUCAGAACAAGCCAAGACUGUUUGCUUUAUCUAUUUUAGCUAAAACAUACUAGUUAGUCAUUGUUUUCACACACAAUUGAGACAACAAUGAUUUUUGACUUUUGAUAAGUCAUGCAGAGGUCAGGGCUGCUGUGUGCACUGCCAUCCUCAAUCAGCCUUAGUGCAGAAGGGUUGUUCUCGGAGAUGGUUUCGUGUCCUGAGGUUCUGACUUUGAUUGUGGCAGCUGCCUUGCUUAGCAGGCACGGUGGGAUGCAGAGGGAAAGCAAAUCAGAGCAGCAGGGGAGGCUGGUGCUCACAGUGAAGAGCAGGGCCACCCACCGCUCCCCUGCUGCCAUCUGACAAUUGAGCUCAGAUUUCUACCUUCAGGUCUGCUUGAAUCCAAAGAAAGGAGCCAUGUGUAGCAGCAAAUUGCAUACAAACUUUCUGCAAAUACAAACUUUUUGUUUGUUUGUUUGUUUUGGUUUGGUUUGGGGUUCUUUGUUAAAACAGACUUCAUCUUAGGAGAAAUUCCAAAUGUCACCUAGGAGAGCUUUGUGUGCAUUUGCCAUGCAAUGCAAGCUUCCUGCCUGCUCUGUUUGGGAGUCCUGGAAGGACAGUGAGCCUGACUCUGUGUUCCCUGGGCCUGUCUGACUCAAGAAACUCCCAGAUUUGUUAUGUGAAAGCUAUGUCCUCUGGUUUCAUGUUCAGAAUGCAACUGCAUGAAGUAUCGAAUAGCAAAUUGUGUGAGGGAGUUCACUAUGGCAGUGUUUUCUGAUUGGGGGAGCACGUGUGUGUUUCUGAUUAUCAGAUGCACCUACUAAGAUUUGCAUUCUUAACCCCAAUGCCAUUCAAGCAAACAGUAAAACUUGUGUGGGUUUGGAAUGGGCUGGGGACUGACACUUGACAAGCAAUACUUUUAAAAGAAAAUUAGUUAUUUCCCUUAUUGCCUUUUUAGAUGUAAGACAACAAUAAGGAGCAAUACUUUACACUAUCUGGUACUGUUUAUUCCUAGAAUUUAUUAAUAUGCUGCAGUCCACAUGCACAUCAUCAGCCCAUUGCCAAAGGUGUUGAAGUAGGCAGUAAAAAUCUCCAUGCUCACAGGCAGCAGGCAAGAUUUUGCUUUUGAAAUGUGAUAGAGAAGACCCACUGCACAGAAAGCAUCAGAGAUCUCGGAUGGCUGUCUCAGAAGGAGCAAGGUGCAGGAUAUGAUGUGUUUUGCACCUGUUAUGCAACAGAGAACAAUUUGCCAAUUAAUUCAGGUAGAAGAGAUAACAUGUCUUGGAUUUCCUGCUCUUAAUUUAUUGAACAGCUAAGCCCUUGGGACUAAUAAAAAGUAUUUCAUCUGCCUGCAGGAGGUUUAUAGUUUCUGAUAAAAUAGAAAAAUACUAGCUCUCAGAAUGGCAAAGUAUCUUUAACUGAUGCAGACUUUGCAUUGAGAGCAUUUGUGGUGAGCUAAUUAAAUAAAUGUUCUACCUUACCUUCAAACUGUACUCCCUGAUGGGCAAAAUGAUAAACAACAAGGUACGUGGGUAAGCAUUUCCUUAUUUUCUUACCAUUGUUUCUUGACCAGCCUUGAGAAAACAAGGUAGGAAAUAGCCUUUCCAUCUUCCACUUUUUUUCUGGCACAUAGGUGAUGGGAGACUUGAAUUUCGUAGGCAUUUUUUACACAGGAUUGCAUCCUAGGACCUAGAUGACAAGCUCAAGUGUUUUAGGUACUAAACCACGACUGAGAGAAUAUGAAUACAAAGGACUCUAUGUGUUCACUUAGGAAAUAACUGAAAAUAACUCAUAAAAGAUUAAUUCACUUGCCAGUUUCUUCUUCUCUGCAGCUUCAUUAUACAAAUUGGAAGAACAGGUAAUACAAUAGAAAGUCUUCUGGCUUGACAACAAAUUCCCAGAAUCUUCUCACUUUCAAACUAAUAAAUAAAUCAAAUGUUCCUUAUUCAUGAAGAUGCCAGUACCGUCUUACAAUGCUUGCUGUGAUGCUAGGUGCAGUUUAACUAAAACAUAGGGCCUUUUUGUUUUUCACUUGAGGACAGAGGGCUUAUUGAGGUCACCGGCUGCUCUAAAAGUGAUAACAUUUUUCUGCAAAAAAGCCAUUAAAAAAAAUCAAUGUUGAGUUAACGUUCUUCAAAGAAUUGGGAUUUUUAAAACUACUUCUUGUUUGUACCACAUUUAUUGAACUUCUUCUGGAGGGCCUGUACCAAAUCUCAUAUGAUUAUGCAUCUCCUGAUUUGUGGUCUUCUUGCGCAGUUAUGAUAGGAUUUAUUUAUCAAAGUACCAGUGGAGUUAUGAUCAGAUAGACCAAUGAACCACUGUCUUGCCUCUUUUAGUAUAUCCAUUCUCUUUUUCUCUCUUUUCAAAAUAGGCAUCUCUCUCAUCUCAGUAGUUUUGAGGACACAUCCUCAGUUGGUAAAUUCUGUUUCAAAAUGUAGUGAGGUUCAGUCUCAGUUUUAUCAUGAGAUUCAUGACUGAAAGCUUCAAACCAAACUGCAGACAUGUCUGUUUUUUUAGUUAAAAUAGUUGUACUUUCUUCCACAGACGGGAGGCUGUAUCCACUGAGAUGUGAGACAUCACACAUGAGAUUCAUAUUACAGAAAACUGAGAACCAAACAAAACCUGUUUAGUUUGCAAAGUAGCUGAGGUUGUAGUCUGUAAAAACCACCCGCACUGAAGUGCCUGGUGGUGAAGUCCCCCAACACAGAAUGAAGUGCUUACAGUCAAAGACAUGGGAGUUUCACGUCCAAUUUCCAGCUUUCAAAGAGCUUCUGAGAAGCCAAAGUCAUUAAUGUGUCUUCCAGGUAAACCUCACUGGCAACACCUUUCUUACAAUUCUGACCGGAGCUGCUCAAAAAAUUAAUUUCAGUUUCUUUCAGUCUUCUUUGAGUCUCCAUUGUGUUGGUCACCCUAAGUCAGGUUUGUUGUCAUCCAGGUUGGUUGUCUUGGAUGUCCUUGCCAGUACCUCAAAGGCUGUUCACAGAAUAAGGGCCUAUGCUUCUGUUCUCUGGAUAGCUUUAAAUAAUUUUUCUUCUCAUGUAUCAUAUAUUCUGCAGUUUCUGAAUCUAACUAGGUGAAGUGGGAUGAUCAGUCACUUUAACUAUUGUUUAUAAUUUUGCCUCUGUAACUUGAGCAGAUUCCUAUUCAAGUAGAGAAACAAGAAAGUUACAGUAGAUGCUCAGCAGAAAUCUUUGUCCAGUUAUACAUAACACUGAGAUUUUUUUUCUGUCUUUUUAUAUGAUGAAAUCUUUCUCAAAGGGAAAAGUAGUAAUGGAAUGGUUUUAUUUACUAUUUUCUUCCUGUUUGAUUUUUUUACAUGUUUACUAUGUACUAUUCUCUGUAUUUUCUAUUUCUCCAUAUCUCUGGAUCUCUGGGUUGAGGUGUUGCUUGUUUCAUUGUUUUUUAAAGAGACAAAGACAAAAAUGUGGAGUACAAAAUUCAAGACUCGUUAUUUUAGAGAAUGCUCCUCAAUGCCAAUACAGCGUCACUCUCAUUUCUUCAACAGGGUGACUUGCAAAGAAUCCAACACAGCACACUCAGUCUGCAGCACCCUUUUUUAUUCAUUUCACACAGAUCUGUAGACAGCAUCCAGCUUCCUCCAGAACAGAAUUAGGUCUGCAUUGCUACUGCAUGACCUGGCUAAACGUCAUCAAAAUAUUUUUGCAAGUAGCUCCUAUUAAUGCUAUUAGGAAUGUGACAUAUUAAUCUCUCUUGUGCAGGGGAGAGAACAAAUCCAUUCAGCUGCAGAAUAAAAAUACUGUUUGUGUUUGAGGAACUAUAAAAACCUGAACUAUUUAAUAACAGCAACAAUCAACAGAACAAUAAUUUUGGCUAGUUAGAACCAUGCAGUACAGUACAAAUCAGUACAGUUACAAAGAUAAUGCAGUAAGUCCACCUGCUCUUCCACCUCUCCUGAGAUGUUUUUUGUUGUUCUGUCAUAUUGUUAAAUUGCAACAGCAUUAUUCCAGCUUCUAAGAAAACCUGGGAAUGCAUAAUAUAAAUAUUUAGCCCAUUGUCAAGGCAGAACUGAAGAGAAGACAAGGAAAAAAAACUAAGGUAAAAAAAUAGGUCUUGAUUACCUUUGUUUUGGUAAAACAAAUUAAUUUUGCAUUGAUUUGUUUAAGUGGGUAUUUUCAUCCUAUAUUCAUGUGUGCCUAUCUGUAGUAAUCAGCAA